CGACGCCGCGUGAAGGAUGACGGCCUUCGGGUUGUAAACUUCUUUUAAGAUGGAAGAAUAAAAUGACGGUACUUCUUGAAUAAGCCCCGGCUAACUACGUGC
rnacentral:rRNA from 1 species